GAUGAACGCUGGCGGCGUGCCUAAUACAUGCAAGUCGAGCGAACGGACGAGAAGCUUUCUUCUCUGAUGUUAGCGGCGGACGGGUGAGUAACACGUGGAUAACCUACCUAUAAGACUGGGAUAACUUCGGGAAACCGUAGCUAAGACCGGAUAAUAUUUUGAACCGCAUUGUUCAAAAGUGAAAGACGCUCUUGCUGUCACUUAUAGAUUGAUCAGCGCUGCAUUAGCUAGUUGGUAAGGUAACGGCUUACCAAGGCAACGAUGCUAAGCCGACCCGAGCGGGUGAUCGCCCAGACUGGAACUGAGACACGGCACCGACACCUACGGGAGGACGCAGUAGGGACUCUUACGCGAUGGGCGAAAGCCUGACGGAGCAAAGCCGCGUGAGUGAUGAAGGUCUUCGGAUCGUAAAACUCUGUUAUUAGGGAAGAACAUAUGUGUAAGUACCUGUGAACAUCUUGACGGUACCUAAUGAGAAAGCCACGGCUAACUACGUG
rnacentral:rRNA from 1 species